GCCCUUGAGUUUGAUCAUGGCUCAGGAUGAACGCUGGCGGCGUGCCUAAUACAUGCAAGUCGAGCGAAGCACCUGCUUCUGAACUUUCGGGUGAAGAAGCAGGCGACUGAGCGGCGGACGGGUGAGUAACACGUAGGUAACCUGCCUCACACAGGGGGAUAACAGUUAGAAAUGACUGCUAAUACCGCAUAAGCGCACAGGACCGCAUGGUCUGGUGUGAAAAGCUCCGGCGGUGUGAGAUGGACCUGCGUCUGAUUAGCCAGUUGGCGGGGUAAAGGCCAACCAAAGCGACGAUCAGUAGCCGGCCUGAGAGGGUGGACGGCCACAUUGGGACUGAGACACGGCCCAGACUCCUACGGGAGGCAGCAGUAGGGAAUAUUGCACAAUGGGGGAAACCCUGAUGCAGCGACGCCGCGUGAGCGAAGAAGUAUCUCGGUAUGUAAAGCUCUAUCAGCAGGGAAGAAGAUGACGGUACCUGACUAAGAAGCACCGGCUAAAUACGUGCCAGCAGCCGCGGUAAUACGUAUGGUGCAAGCGUUAUCCGGAUUUACUGGGUGUAAAGGGAAGGGC
rnacentral:rRNA from 1 species